AAACCAACCGGGAUUGCCUUAGUAACGGCGAGUGAAGCGGCAAAAGCUCAAAUUUGAAAUCUAGUACCUUCGGUGCUCGAGUUGUAAUUUGUAGAGGGAUACUUUGGGGCCGUUCCUUAUCUAUGUUCCUUGGAACAGGACGUCAUAGAGGGUGAGAAUCCCGUAUGAUGAGGAGUGCGGUUCUAUGUAAAGUUCCUUCGAAGAGUCGAGUUGUUUGGGAAUGCAGCUCUAAGUGGGUGGUAAAUUCCAUCUAAAGCUAAAUAUUGGCGAGAGACCGAUAGCGAACAAGUACAGUGAUGGAAAGAUGAAAAGAACUUUGAAAAGAGAGUGAAAAAGUACGUGAAAUUGUUGAAAGGGAAGGGCAUUUGAUCAGACAUGGUGUUUUGCGCCCUCCGCUCCUUGUGGGUGGGGGAAUCUCGCAGCUCACUGGGCCAACAUCAGUUUUGGCGGCAGGAUAAAUCUAUAGGAAUGUAGCUUGCUUCGGGAAGUGUUAUAGCCUAUGGGAAUACUGCCAGCCGGGAUUGAGGACUGCGACUUUUGUCAAGGAUGUUGGCAUA
rnacentral:rRNA from 1 species